AGGGCGCACGGUGAAUGCCUUGGCACUAGGAGCCGAUGAAGGACGGGACUAACACCGAUAUGCUUCGGGGAGCUGUAAGUGAGCUUUGAUCCGGAGAUUUCCGAAUGGGGAAACCCACUGUUCGUAAUGGAACAGUAUCUUUAUCUGAAUACAUAGGAUAUUGAAGGCAGACCCGGGGAACUGAAACAUCUAAGUACCCGGAGGAAGAGAAAGCAAAUGCGAUUUCCUGAGUAGCGGCGAGCGAAACGGAAUUAGCCCAAACCAAGAGGCUUGCCUCUUGGGGUUGUAGGACACUCUAUACGGAGUUACAAAGGAACGAAGUAAAUGAAGCGACCUGGAAAGGUCCGUCGAAGAAGGUAACAACCCUGUAGUUGAAACUUCGUUCCCUCUUGAGUGGAUCCUGAGUACGGCGGAACACGUGAAAUUCCGUCGGAAGCUGGGAGGACCAUCUCCCAAGGCUAAAUACUACCUAGUGACCGAUAGUGAACCAGUACCGUGAGGGAAAGGUGAAAAGCACCCCGGAAGGGGAGUGAAAGAGAUCCUGAAACCGUGUGCCUACAAGUAGUCAGAGCCCGUUAACGGGUGAUGGCGUGCCUUUUGUAGAAUGAACCGGCGAGUUACGAUCCCAUGCAAGGUUAAGCUGAUAAGGCGGAGCCGUAGCGAAAGCGAGUCUGAAUAGGGCGUUUAGUAUGUGGUUGUAGACCCGAAACCAGGUGAUCUACCCAUGUCCAGGGUGAAGUUCAGGUAACACUGAAUGGAGGCCCGAACCCACGCACGUUGAAAAGUGCGGGGAUGAGGUGUGGGUAGCGGAGAAAUUCCAAUCGAACCUGGAGAUAGCUGGUUCUCUCCGAAAUAGCUUUAGGGCUAGCCUCAUGUUGUGAGAGUCUUGGAGGUAGAGCACUGAUUGGACUAGGGGCCCCCAACGGGUUACCGAAUUCAGUCAAACUCCGAAUGCCAAAGACUUAUCCAUGGGAGUCAGACUGCGAGUGAUAAGAUCCGUAGUCAAAAGGGAAACAGCCCAGACCACCAGCUAAGGUCCCCAAGUAUACGUUAAGUGGAAAAGGAUGUGGAGUUGCUUAGACAACCAGGAUGUUGGCUUAGAAGCAGCCACCAUUUAAAGAGUGCGUAAUAGCUCACUGGUCGAGUGACUCUGCGCCGAAAAUGUACCGGGGCUAAACGUAUCACCGAAGCUGUGGAUUGACAUCUUUGAUGUCAGUGGUAGGAGAGCGUUCUAAGUGCAGCGAAGUCAGACCGUAAGGACUGGUGGAGCGCUUAGAAGUGAGAAUGCCGGUAUGAGUAGCGAAAGACAAGUGAGAAUCUUGUCCACCGAAUGCCUAAGGUUUCCUGAGGAAGGCUCGUCCGCUCAGGGUUAGUCGGGACCUAAGCCGAGGCUGAAAAGCGUAGGCGAUGGCCAACAGGUUGAUAUUCCUGUACCACCUCCCCGCCGUUUGAGUAAUGGGGGGACGCAGUAGGAUAGGGUAAGCGCGCUGCUGGAUAUGCGCGUUCAAGCAGUUAGGCUGAUGAGUAGGCAAAUCCGCUCAUCAUAAAGGCUGAGCUGUGAUGACGAGGGAAUUAUAGUACCGAAGUUCCUGAUUCCACACUGCCAAGAAAAGCCUCUAGCGAGGCGGGAGGUGCCCGUACCGCAAACCGACACAGGUAGGCGAGGAGAGAAUCCUAAGGUGAUCGAGAGAACUCUCGUUAAGGAACUCGGCAAAAUGACCCCGUAACUUCGGGAGAAGGGGUGCUCUGGUAGGGUGUAUAGCCCGAGAGAGCCGCAGUGAAUAGGCCCAGGCGACUGUUUAGCAAAAACACAGGUCUCUGCGAAGCCGCAAGGCGAAGUAUAGGGGCUGACGCCUGCCCGGUGCUGGAAGGUUAAGAGGAGGGGUUAUCCUUUGGGAGAAGCUCUGAAUCGAAGCCCCAGUAAACGGCGGCCGUAACUAUAACGGUCCUAAGGUAGCGAAAUUCCUUGUCGGGUAAGUUCCGACCCGCACGAAAGGCGUAACGAUCUGGGCACUGUCUCAACGAGAGACUCGGUGAAAUUAUAGUACCUGUGAAGAUGCAGGUUACCCGCGACAGGACGGAAAGACCCCGUGGAGCUUUACUGUAGCCUGAUAUUGAAUUUUGGUACAGCUUGUACAGGAUAGGUAGGAGCCUGAGAAGCCGGAGCGCUAGCUUCGGUGGAGGCGUCGGUGGGAUACUACCCUGGCUGUAUUGAAAUUCUAACCCGCGGCCCUGAUCGGGCCGGGAGACAGUGUCAGGUGGGCAGUUUGACUGGGGCGGUCGCCUCCUAAAAUGUAACGGAGGCGCCCAAAGGUUCCCUCAGAAUGGUUGGAAAUCAUUCGUAGAGUGUAAAGGCACAAGGGAGCUUGACUGCGAGACCUACAAGUCGAGCAGGGACGAAAGUCGGGCUUAGUGAUCCGGUGGUUCCGCAUGGAAGGGCCAUCGCUCAACGGAUAAAAGCUACCCCGGGGAUAACAGGCUUAUCUCCCCCAAGAGUCCACAUCGACGGGGAGGUUUGGCACCUCGAUGUCGGCUCAUCGCAUCCUGGGGCUGUAGUCGGUCCCAAGGGUUGGGCUGUUCGCCCAUUAAAGCGGUACGCGAGCUGGGUUCAGAACGUCGUGAGACAGUUCGGUCCCUAUCCGUCGUGGGCGUAGGAAAUUUGAGAGGAGCUGUCCUUAGUACGAGAGGACCGGGAUGGACACACCGCUGGUGUACCAGUUGUCUUGCCAAAGGCAUCGCUGGGUAGCUAUGUGUGGACGGGAUAAGUGCUGAAAGCAUCUAAGCAUGAAGCCCCCCUCAAGAUGAGAUUUCCCAUAGCGCAAGCUAGUAAGAUCCCUGAAAGAUGAUCAGGUUGAUAGGUCAGAGGUGGAAGCGUGGCGACAUGUGUAGCUGACUGAUACUAAUCGAUCGAGGACUUAACC
rnacentral:rRNA from 1 species